AGCGAACGCUGGCGGCAGGCUUAACACAUGCAAGUCGAGCGGGCCCUUCGGGGUCAGCGGCCGACGGGUGAGUAACCGGUGGGAACGUACCCUUUGGUUCGGAAUAUCUCUGGGAAACUAGUGCUAAUACCGGAUACGCCCUUUUGGGGAAAGCCUUAUUGGCGAAGGAGCGUCCCUAGUCUGAUUAGAUUUUUGGGUGGGUAAUAGACUACAGAGGCGGAGAUCAGUAGCUGGGCUGAGAGGAUGAUCAGCAAUCCUGGGAGUGAGAGACGGCCCAGACUUCUACGGGAGGCAGAAGUGGGGAAGAUUCGACACUGGGCGCAAGCUUGAGCCAGCCAGGCCGUGAGAGUGAUUAAGGCGUUAGGAUCGUAAAGCUCUUUUGUUAGGGACGACAAGGACGUAACCGGAAGAAUAAGCCCCGCUUACCUCCGU
rnacentral:rRNA from 1 species